GAUGAAGCUAAAUGUCUCCUUCCCUGCCAUAGUUGUCAGAAACUCAUUGAACUGGGUGAUAAAUGCAAGCUUCACACCCUCUGUGAGAAGCACAUGGCCACAGAAGUAGAUGCUGAUGUUCUGGAUAAAGAGUGGAAAGGUUAUGUGAUCCUGAUCAGUGGUGGGAAUGACAAACAAGGUUUCCCAUGAAGCAAGGCAUUUCAAACCAUGGCAGAGUGUGCCUGCUGUUGAGUAAGGGGCAUACUUGUUGUAGACCAGGAAAAAAUGGUAAGAGGAAGUGCAAGUCCAUUUGUGGAUGCACUGUAGAUCCAAUCUGAGUGUUCUCACUUUCAAUUAUUGUAAAAAGGGAAAGAAGGAAAUUCCUGGACUGACAGAUACCAUUGUGCCUCAUAGGUUAGGACCUAAAAGAGCUAGUAAAUCCAAAAGCUUUUCAGUCUCUCUGAAAAAGAUGAUAUCCACCAAUAUGUUGUCUAAAAGCUCUUAAACAAUGAAGGUAAGAAACCCAGGACCAAAGCACCGAAGAUUCAGGGUCUUGUUACUCCAAUCCAUGUAUCCUACAACACAAACACUGACUUACUGCUCUGAAGAAAACGUAUUAAACAAAUAAACAAACCAACCAACCAACACAACACAACACAACACAAAACAAAACAAAACAAAACAAAACAAAACAAAACAAAACAAAACAAAACAAAACAAAACAAUGAGGAGGCUGGAGAAUAUGCUAAACUUUUGGCCAAGAGAGUGAAGGAAGCUGAAGAAAAGCAACAGGAACAGAUUGUCAAGAAAUGUUGGCUGUCCUCUCUGAAAGCUUCUACUUCUAAGUCUGAGCCCAGUCAAA
rnacentral:lncRNA from 1 species